rnacentral:rRNA from 1 species
UUGUACCCGCUGAACUAAGCAUAUCAAUAAGCGGAGGAAAAGAAACCCAACAGGGGUUGCUUAAGUAACGGCGAGUGAAGCGGCAACAGCUCAAAUUUGAAAUCUGGCCCUUGGGUCCGAAUUGUAAUUUGUAGAGGAUGAUUUUGGUGCGGUAUCUUCCGAGUUCCUUGGAACAGGACGCCUUAGAGGGUGAGAGCCCCGUACGGUUGAAUGCCUAGCCUCUGUAAAUCUCCUUCGACGAGUCGAGUAGUUUGGGAAUGCUGCUCUAAAUGGGAGGUAAAUUUCUUCUAAAGCUAAAUAUUGGCCAGAGACCGAUAGCGCACAAGUAGAGUGAUCGAAAGAUGAAAAGCACUUUGAAAAGAGGGUUAAAUAGCACGUGAAAUUGUUGAAAGGGAAGGAUUUGUGACCAGACUUUUUCUGGGCGGAUCAUCCGGGGUUCUCUCCGGUGCACUUCGCCCAGUAAAGGCCAGCAUCGGUUUUCGGCGUGGGAUAAAAGCAGUAGGAAUGUGGCUCUCUACGGGGAGUGUUAUAGCCUAUUGUAUAAUACCGCGCUGGGGACCGAGGUUCGCGCUUCUGCAAGGAUGCUGGCGUAAUGGUUAUCAAUCACCCGUCUUGAAACACGGACCAAGGAGUCGAACAUUUGUGCGAGUGUUUGGGUGUUAAACCCUCACGCGUAAUGAAAGUGAACGGAGGUGAGAGCCCUUACGGGUGCAUCAUCGACCGAUCCUGAAGUUUUCGGAUGGAUUUGAGUAAGAGCAUAACUGUUCGGACCCGAAAGAUGGUGAACUAUGCGUGGAUAGGGUGAAGCCAGAGGAAACUCUGGUGGAGGCUCGCAGCGGUUCUGACGUGCAAAUCGAUCGUCAAAUCUGCGCAUGGGGGCGAAAGACUAAUCGAACCAUCUUUAUGCGUUG